AUUGAACGCUGGCGGCAGGCUUAACACAUGCAAGUCGAGCGGGGGUAGGUGCUUCGGUACUGAACCUAGCGGCGGACGGGUGAGUAAUGCUUAGGAAUCUGCCUAUUUGUGGGGGACAACAUUUCGAAAGGGAUGCUAAUACCGCAUACGCCCUACGGGGGAAAGCAGGGGAUCAUUUGACCUUGCGCUAAUAGAUGAGCCUAAGUCGGAUUAGCUAGUUGGUGGGGUAAAGGCCUACCAAGGCGACGAUCUGUAGCGGGUCUGAGAGGAUGCUCCGCCACACUGGGACUGAGACACGGCCCAGACUCCUACGGGAGGCAGCAGUGGGGAAUAUUGGACAAUGGGGGGAACCCUGAUCCAGCCAUGCCGCGUGUGUGAAGAAGGCCUUUUGGUUGUAAAGCACUUUAAGCGAGGAGGAGGCUCCUGUAGAUAAUACCUACAGUGAGUGGACGUUACUCGCAGAAUAAGCACCGGCUAACUCUGUGCCAGCCGCCGCAGUAAAAC
rnacentral:rRNA from 1 species